rnacentral:tRNA from 1 species
GGCCCCGUAGCAGAACGGCAUAUGCCGCAAGCUCAAACCUUGCGUGUCUUGUCGGUUCGAAUCCGACCGGGGCCACCA